rnacentral:misc_RNA from 1 species
AAAUAUAAUUGGUGUUUGAAUAUUGUGUUGUCAUUAUGGUUUCUCUUUUGUUGUGAAUUUUUGAAUGGAUUACCUAGAACAUUGCUAGGUGAAAUUCAAACCAUAUGUUUGCAAAUCCAUUUAUUUGUAGAUAAUAUUUAAUGUUUUUGCAUAUAUUGAUUUAGUUUGUUUUCUCUCUCUGUCCCACCUCCCCUUUUUAACCCAGGGGGUAUCUAGGUGUGUGAAUG